rnacentral:lncRNA from 1 species
CACCAAAAACCAAUUGCAAUCAUCGGUGUCCUUGAACAAUUAAUUUCCUAUAGGGGAAAGAGAGGAGUCAGAUAAAAUCUCAACAAACAAGUAGCAAGUAGAGUACAUUCAACAUGAAUACUACAUAAUCAUACUUACAAGUGGAACAAUGUGAAUUUGAAGCCAAUUCUUCUGUAGGCCCGAAUUUCACAUGUAGUACUAUAACUCCUAUCCAUCUUUAAUAACAUAUCAUAUUUGAACUCAUAACAUAAUUGAACGUAAGAAGAUACUCAAAUAACUUUGAUAACUCUUAACUUCGUCCAAUUUUUCUCAAAAAAAUUGCGUGAGCACUAGGGGCAGGAAGAGAUGGCGAAUUGAGUGGUAUAUACUCACACACAUACACUUGGUAUUAGGUUUUAGGGGGAAUAAUUUUUUUUAUAAUCCUAGAAAAUAAUAAUUGCCUUCUAAUUAAAUAUGCACACAUAAUUUUGCAAGCAAGAAUCUCAAAUUUUCCAUAAGUGUAAGUCAAACAAUACGACAAAAAUCCGUACCAGUUUGAUUGAAAGAGCAUUCUAGGCUUAAAUAGAUGACUUAACAAUAAAUUAUAUAACAAGAAUAUAAUUCCCUUAGCCAAAGAAGAUAGUUCUUUUAUUUUUUCCAAAACACCAAAUCUAAGUUACUGUUCCUAGGGCGAAGAAAACUGCAUUUUCAGAAUUUGCAAAUAGGUCCCUCAAAUAUGGACAACAAAACAAUUUUGAACCAAACUUUUGAACUCUUAAAAGUAGGUCCUAGUUUCAAAAUCAACAGUCAAGGCCUAGAAUUGGAGGUUUUACAAUCUUUUCAACUUAAAAUUAAAUUUCGUCCACCUUGGUUGUCGUCAAAAGUUGGGAGAAGUUAAAAGUUUUCAAAGUUCUUUUUCAAAUGAUAA